UACAGAGGGUGCGAGCGUUAAUCGGAAUUACUGGGCGUAAAGCGCGCGUAGGCGGCUUUGCAAGUCGGAUGUGAAAUCCCCGGGCUCAACCUGGGAACUGCAUUCGAGACUGCAUUGCUCGAGUAUGGGAGAGGGAGGCGGAAUUUCCGGUGUAGCGGUGAAAUGCGUAGAUAUCGGAAGGAACAUCAGUGGCGAAAGCGGCCUCCUGGACCAAUACUGACGCUCAUGUGCGAAAGCGUGGGGAGCAAAC
rnacentral:rRNA from 1 species